rnacentral:tRNA from 594 species
GCGGAAGUAGUUCAGUGGUAGAAUACAACCUUGCCAAGGUUGGGGUCGCGGGUUCGAAUCCCGUCUUCCGCUCCA